rnacentral:rRNA from 1 species
GACGAACGCUGGCGGCGUGCUUAACACAUGCAAGUCGAACGGAAAGGCCCUGCUUUUGUGGGGUGCUCGAGUGGCGAACGGGUGAGUAACACGUGAGUAACCUGCCCUUGACUUUGGGAUAACUUCAGGAAACUGGGGCUAAUACCGGAUAGGAGCUCCUGCUGCAUGGUGGGGGUUGGAAAGUUUCGGCGGUUGGGGAUGGACUCGCGGCUUAUCAGCUUGUUGGUGGGGUAGUGGCUUACCAAGGCUUUGACGGGUAGCCGGCCUGAGAGGGUGACCGGCCACAUUGGGACUGAGAUACGGCCCAGACUCCUACGGGAGGCAGCAGUGGGGAAAAGUGCACAAUGGGCGGAAGCCUGAUGCAGCAACGCCGCGUGCGGGAUGACGGCCUUCGGGUUGUAAACCGCUUUCGCCUGUGACGAAGCGUGAGUGACGGUAAUGGGUAAAGAAGCACCGGCUAACUACGUG